rnacentral:rRNA from 1 species
GAGUUUGAUCAUGGCUCAGGAUGAACGCUAGCGGCAGGCUUAAUACAUGCAAGUCGAGGGGCAGCAGCUUUAUAGCAAUAUAGAGGCUGGCGACCGGCAAACGGGUGCGGAACACGUACACAACCUUCCUUGAAUAGGGGGAUAGCCCAUAGAAAUGUGGAUUAAUACCCCGUAAUAUAGCGGUGUGGCAUCACACUGUUAUUAUAGUUUCGGCGAUUCGAGAUGGGUGUGCGGCUGAUUAGGUAGUUGGCGGGGUAAAGGCCCACCAAGCCUUCGAUCAGUAGCUGAUGUGAGAGCAUGAUCAGCCACACGGGCACUGAGACACGGGCCCGACUCCUACGGGAGGCAGCAGUAAGGAAUAUUGGUCAAUGGACGCAAGUCUGAACCAGCCAUGCCGCGUGAAGGAUGAAGGUCCUCUGGAUUGUAAACUUCUUUUAUAGGGGGCGAAAAAAGGUCUUCUAGAUCACUGACAGUACCGUAGUUA